rnacentral:RNase_P_RNA from 1 species
CGCGCUCAUCGGGCAGCCGCCUUUGCCUUGUGCAGGGGAGGAAAGUCCGAACUCCGCAGGGCAGGGUGCCGGAUAACGUCCGGGCGUCGAAAGGCGACGGAAAGUGCAACAGAAAACACACCGCCCGUUCCGCAGCGCUUCGGCAAUGCGGGAAAGGUAAGGUUGAAAAGGUGCGGUAAGAGCGCACCGGCAGUCUGGCGACAGGCUGGCCUGGCAAACCCCACCCGGAGCAAGACCAUGUAGGAAUGUCGUCUUCGGAACUGCGCUGCUCGCGCAGUGAGCGCCUCGGCGCACCGGCAUUCGGGUAGGUCGCAUGAACUUCGUGGCAACACGGAGUCCAGAUAGAUGGCUGCCUCGUCCCGUAUCCCGGGAUAGACAGAAUUCGGCUUACAGAUGGACGCGAGUG